GAUGAACGCUGGCGGCGUGCCUAAUACAUGCAAGUCGAGCGAGAAGCUUGGAAAUGACGCUUCGGUUGAUUUUCCAAGCGGACAGCGGCGGACGGGUGAGUAACGCGUAGGCAACCUGCCCCUGACAGAGGGAUAGCCAUUGGAAACGAUGAUUAAAACCUCAUGACACCGUAGUAGCACAUGCUACAUCGGUCAAAGAUUUAUCGGUCAGGGAUGGGCCUGCGUCUGAUUAACUGGUUGGUGAGGUAACGGCUCACCAAGGUGACGAUCAGUAGCCGACCUGAGAGGGUGAUCGGCCACAUUGGAACUGAGACACGGUCCAAACUUCUACGGAAGGCAGCAGUAGGGAAUCUUGCACAAUGGGCGAAAGCCUGAUGCAGCAACGCCGCGUGAAGGAUGAAGGCCUUCGGGUUGUAAACUUCCGUUCUAAGGGAAGAA
rnacentral:rRNA from 1 species